rnacentral:lncRNA from 1 species
ACUUUGAAGUACUUCUUUCUUGCUUUAUAUGAUAUGCAUGAAAAUGAAGUAGUUGGGUCCAACGCCUCUAAGACAACACGCCUUAAUGUGACUAAACGCGUAACUAAAAUUAAUCACCAUCCCUAGACCGAGAUUCAACACAAGGCUCGUGUUGAAUCUAAACAAAGGUUCAUAAUCAUCCUUAGGCCCUAAGGCAACUAUAUAUAGUCCAUCAAAUGAAUGCAAAGUUUAUGUUAGUAGUAUCAUAUACUCUUGCUUUAAAAAAAUCGUUUUAAAAGCAUAGUGGGAGUAUUAUAUACAACUAAAACAAUCAAAUGGACCAAUAGUUGUAAGAGGACCAAAAUUGUUUUAAUAGAGAUUAAAAUGAAUAUUUAUAUGUGAUGAGACCUAAAACCCUCAACCAAAUCAAUAUUAAGUUGAUAAGCGAGAGAUGUUUAGAAUAUCUCUUCGUGGCCUUCCACCGUGGUGGAAUCCAAUCGUUUAUGACUUGUACACCGGCUUCACCCUAUCAUGGGGGAGUACAAAGUGCAUGCUUAUACUCAGGAGGAAUCCAUAUACAUAUGAUGAGGUUGGUGUAGGCAACGAGGAUGGCCAAUAUCAUAUCAUUGUGAGGCUAUUCUUGAACCCCUUCAUGAACUAAGCAUGGUGGGAAUAACUUAACUAAGUGCAAUGCAACCAAUAUCAUAUCAUUGUGAGGUUACAUUCUCUAGAGGCCAAAUAAGAUGGGUACUUGCAUUAGUU